GGUGCAGCAGCGCGAAACCCUUACAAUGUGCGAAAGCAUGAUAAGGAGCUCCGAGUGCAGUCAUCUAAUACUGCUGUCCUGAUGCAUAAAACGCACUAUGAUAGCAAGGGCCGGGUAAGACCCGUGCCAGCCGCCGCGGUAACACCGGCGGCCCGAGUGGUAGCCGCUAUUAUUGGGUCUAAAGGGUCCGUAGCCGGUUCGAUAAGUCCUCUGGGAAAUCUGGCUGCUUAACUAUCAGACUGCCAAGGGAUACUGUCGAGCUUGAGACCGGGAGAGGUAAGAGGUACUUCAGGGGUAGGAGUGAAAUCUUGUAAUCCCUGGGGGACCAUCUGUGGCGAAGGCGCCUUACCAGAACGGGUCCGACGGUGAGGGACGAAAGCUAGGGGAGCAAACCGGAUUAGAUACCCGGGUAGUCCUAGCUGUAAACGAUGCUCGCUAGGUGUCAGACACGGUGCGACCGUGUUUGGUGCCGCAGGGAAGCCGUUAAGCGAGCCACCUGGGAAGUACGGUCGCAAGGCUGAAACUUAAAGGAACUGGCGGGGGAGCACUACAACGGGUGGAGCCUGCGGUUUAAUUGGAUUCAACGCCGGAAAACUCACCGGGUGCGACAGCAAUAUGUAGGUCAGGCUGAAGGUCUUACCUGAAUCGCUGAGAGGAGGUGCAUGGCCGUCGUCAGUUCGUACUGUGAAGCAUCCUGUUAAGUCAGGCAACGAGCGAGACCCGCGCCCACAGUUGCCAGCAUGUUCUCCGGAACGAUGGGUACACUGUGGGGACCGCCGCUGCUAAAGCGGAGGAAGGAACGGGCUACGGUAGGUCAGUAUGCCCCGAAUCUCCCGGGCUACACGCGGGCUACAAUGGUUGGGACAAUGGGCACCUACCCUGGAAAGGGACGGUAAUCUCCUAAACCCAACCGUAGUUCGGAUUGAGGGCUGUAACUCGCCCUCAUGAAGCUGGAAUCCGUAGUAAUCGCGUUUCAACAUAGCGCGGUGAAUACGUCCCUGCUCCUUGCACAC
rnacentral:rRNA from 1 species